rnacentral:lncRNA from 1 species
CUUGAGAGAGUAACAUGCUGCUGAGACCAUCUGGACAGUGUACAUGACUGAACCCGGUUAAAGCCUUUAUAUAAACUUCUAAGAUGCUGGUGGGCAGCUACGGAGAUCUACUUGUCUUGCUGCCACACAAGAGAAGCCUCGCAUAGAAGACCCUGAGAGAAGACUGAGGCCAGUGGCAGUCAACCUUGAAGAGUCAUAAACUGAUUUUCCCAGGAGGUGAAGCAUGCUGAAACCAUUGGGACAUCCACGUUAUCAUCGGCAGUGGUCAUACUAUACUCAUGUGGAGGAGUGGCCCUUACCUACCUCACUGUCACCAUGAGUCUCGUUCAGCAUAUGUCCUGAGAAUGCUAGGCCAGCCCCAGCAGACCCCAGCUGGCCAGGUCCUGGGUGAAUCAGAUCUGGGACUCCUGCUUGAUGUAACAUGAUAAUGUGCCAGGCACAGUGCUGAGAGAGAAGACGCCACCACAACCCUCUUAAAGUUCAGAGAGAGCAUCAGAGGAAAACAAGAGGUCCACAGGGAGCUUCAAGGGAGACAAUGCUCACUGCCUUCAGAAUGGUUGCAGGGCAUGGCUUGCCAAGGAUCCGAACCAGCAAACCCCAGGCCACAGAAGCAGAAUGUGCACACUUAACCACUGCUCCACUGGGCAGGAGCCUCCACUUUUCUAUUUUUAUUGAGGCAAUAAUGGUCAAAGGGCAACAUGAAGUCAUCUGUAAGAUGUCACGGUGCAAAUUGAGUUCAGUCUGAUAAUCAACUCAAGAAUAAAGAAACCUAAUUUCACAUGUUCAAGAAAGACUCUAGCUGAUCUCUAGCCCUGUGGAUACUAGAGCAAAUUUCCUGAUAUCACCUGUUGGUCACCCUUUGCCUCAUUAAACGACUGUAGAUCAAUGAGCAUGCAGAAUCAGGAGACAGUUUCGUCCCAGGAAGGAAAAUUGCAGUCCAACUUCAAAGCAACACACCAGACCUCAGACGAAAGUGUUCCAGUUUGUUACUUUGCACGACUGUGUGUUUCAAUUUAUUACACUGAUGACUUACCUUGUACUACUCUGUGUUCAAUUAUGUAUUUCCUGUUCUCAUUACAGACCUUCAAACGACCGCAAAGAUAUAUUCAUUU